rnacentral:rRNA from 1 species
GGCCUGGCCGGGUGGUCUGCUUAACGGCAUGUACUGCCUGGCUGGGCCUUACCUCUUGGUGAGCCGGCGUGCCCUUCAUUGGCGUGCGCCGGGGAACCAGGACUUUUACCUUGAGAAAAUUAGAGUGUUCAAAGCAGGCCUAUGCCUGAAUACAUUAGCAUGGAAUAAUGGAAUAGGGCUGCUGCCCCAUUUUGUUGGUUUCUGGGACCGUAGCA